GUGGCACCCACAUGUGCUGUCCUGAACAUCCUUGUGUGAGGGGCCUGGGAUCACUGCCACUCUGCUAUCUUCUUCUUUGGCCUUUGUUAGAGCUCUUCAUUCCAAAUGCAGCUUCUGCACACUCCCUGAGUGUAAAAAUUGUUGAGCUGAAAGAGGCCUCAAGACAGAGUUGGGGACAGGAAGAUGUAGGCAGAAAAAGUUUUGAGAAAAGCUGCCAGUAAAUUUAUGCCCAGCAAAAGAAUGCAGAACUUGAAGAUACAAAUGAAGGCCCGGUCAUGGCAGAGGAAUCUGGCAGUCAGGCAGCAAUUGGCCAUGGAGCACCAAAAUUAGAGGUUCUCCACAGGCACUUCAGUCUACUCCACUGCUAAAUGUGUGUAUUAACAGCUACAACAGAGCAAGGAAAGACUACAGGUAUUA